UCUCUCUCUCUCUCAUCCUGUCCCCCAUGACAGGUGUCUGUCUCUCUCUCAUCCUGUCCCCCAGGAUAGGUGUCUGUCUCUGUUUCUCUCCUCCUGUCCCCCAGGACAGAUGUCUGUCUCUCUCCUCUUGUCCCUCAGGACCGGUGUCUUUCUCUUUUCCUGUCCCCCAGGAUAGGUAUCUGUCUCUUUCGCCACCUGUCCCCCAGGACAGGUGUCUGUCUCUCUCCCUUCCUGUCCCCCAGGAGAGGUGUCUGUCUGUCUCUUUUGUCUAUUUCAGUUUUACAAUAUUGACCUGAGUCAAGCUCAAGUAAACCACGCAAACCAAGCAAGAAAAGUUGUACAAACCAACAGGAUAAUUAAAAGUUUGGUUUAUUGCUGUAUUCAUUUUCUCUUACAGCUCAAAGUCGGGCCAGUGGACGGCAUUUGCAGAGACUAUGUGCCUGGGAAGAGCUUCAGCUUUCAGAUCAGAGGUGACCCAGGUGCAAAAGUCAGCCUGGUGGCUGUGGACAACGCUGUGUAUCUUCUCAACGAGGACAGACUCACACAGAGGAAGCCGUGCAGUGUCCAGGCAGUACCAGAAGGAGACGCUCUGCUGAACUGUUGAAGCGUAAAGCUCAGCUGGUUGCCUGCUAAUCUUGAUUUGGAAGUAGAGGCUCGAGGAAAUGGACAAGGAAUACUAGAGCACAGGGAAAGACAACCACGGGUUGUGACCUAUUACAAUCAGCUGCAUGAGGUGGAAGAGAAAAUGCCCUGCAAGCACUUUGAUCUCAACGUCUCUUUUGAAGGAUCCAGCGGUAGAUCAAAUUCUCACACUAUAUCACAUAUUUUACACGACGUCCUUCAGACGGGUGACAAAUUAAAGCAAAUGCACUUUAACAAAAAAAAACAAAGCAUUUAGACUGCUGACCUGAGUAAAUUUAGUAAAAUGAAUUUAUAAAACACUCACAUACAAUCUCUUAAAAUACAUACGUUUUGCAUACAUCACAAUGCAAGGACUGUGUGUGCUCAUCUUCAGGGACUUUUUGUUCGUAUUAUUUUUGUUAAGAUCAAAUGAAUACAUUAUUGUUAAGAUCAAAAUAACACAUUGGAGCAUAAUUACAUCAAAUACACUAUUACAUACGCUCUAGCCCACCAUAUAAUAUAUACAGCUGUACAUUAAUUAAUGCUUUGCUACUGUCCCGGACCAGAAAAGCCUCCAGCAGAUGUAGAAAAGUCAGACAAGAUCAAGUAGUUGUUGUUGUUAUACGUGUACACGACUGUGCAAAACGUUAGAUCGGCAGCAAUAUCGACUACCUUAUUACAAAUUGCAGGGCACAGUUUCACAGCUUUGGGUAGUUCAAAAUAUCUUGUGCCAGUUCCUCUGUGGACUGACACUCUGUACAUUAUCUGAUAG
ensembl:lncRNA